AUGCCUCGGAAGCACAAAAACAAGCAUCAUGCCCACGGGAAAUGUCACCAGGUCCAGAGGGAUACUCAGGAGGCCCAAGCCAGUGCUGCUGCAGCCCCAGGAGAGGAGUGCCCCUCCUCCCCUCUUCUGUCCCUCAGGGUUCUCCCGCAAGCUCCUCUGCUGCUGGCGAUCGCCAGGAGCUUCAGGGAGCCAUGGCCCCUAGCUCUCCUGAUGCAGAGGCUUCCUGUGCAGGAGCUGAUCAAGGUGCCCAGGGCCCCCGAGGAUGAAAGUGCAGAUGCCGCCCGAGCAGCCCUGCUCGCUCGGAGCAUUCGCAAAGAUCCUCUCAUGAGGAAGGCCAGCAUGGUGAUGGAUUUCCUGCUGGAGAAGUACAUCAAGAAGGAGCCCAUCACAAAGAAUGCCAUGCUGAAUGUCAUCGGAAGGAAGUACAAGCAGCACUUCCCGGAGAUCCUGAGCAGAGCCUCUGAGCGCGUGGAGCUGGUGUUUGGCCUGGAGCUGAAGGAAGUCGACUGCAGCAGGAACAUCUACGCCCUCGUCAACAAGUUCACUCUCGGGGUUGAGGAAGGUUCAAGUGAUGAGGAGGCGCUGCCCAAGUCUGGUCUCCUCAUGGCGCUCCUGGGCAUCAUCUUUAUGAAGGGUAACCGUGCCACCGAGGAGGAGGUCUGGGAUUUCCUCAAUGUGUUGGGGAUCUAUGCUGGGAGGAAGCACUCCAUCUUUGGGGAGCCCAGAAAGCUCAUCACCAAAGAUCUGGUGCAGAAGGGGUACCUCAACUACCGCCAGGUGCCCAAUAGCGAUCCUCCAAUCUACGAGUUCCUGUGGGGCCCGAGAUCUUAUGCUGAGACCAAUAAGAUGAAGGUGUUGGAAGUUCUGGCCAAGAUCCAGGAUACGGUCCCGAGUUCCUUCCCAGACCUCUAUGAUGAGGCUCUGAGAGAUCAGGCGUUUAGAGCAGGGCUGAGAGGCAUUCCCAUUUCUCCAGCUAUGGCUGAGGCCAGUGCCCCUUCCAGGGCCAAGUCCUACAGCUCCUCCCACAUCUAG
rnacentral:lncRNA from 1 species